UACGUAGGUGGCAAGCGUUAUCCGGAAUUAUGGGGCGUAAAGAGCGCGCAGGUGGUUGAUUAAGUCUGAUGUGAAAGCCCACGGCUUAACCGUGGAGGGUCAUUGGAAACUGGUCGACUUGAGUGCAGAAGAGGGAAGUGGAAUUCCAUGUGUAGCGGUGAAAUGCGUAGAGAUAUGGAGGAACACCAGUGGCGAAGGCGGCUUCCUGGUCUGUAACUGACACUGAGGCGCGAAAGCGUGGGGAGCAAACAGG
rnacentral:rRNA from 1 species